rnacentral:rRNA from 1 species
GAGGUGAUAUGAACCGUUAUAACCGGCGAUUUCCGAAUGGGGAAACCCAGUGUGUUUCGACACACUAUCAUUAACUGAAUCCAUAGGUUAAUGAGGCGAACCGGGGGAACUGAAACAUCUAAGUACCCCGAGGAAAAGAAAUCAACCGAGAUUCCCCCAGUAGCGGCGAGCGAACGGGGAGGAGCCCAGAGCCUGAAUCAGUGUGUGUGUUAGUGGAAGCGUCUGGAAAGGCGCGCGAUACAGGGUGACAGCCCCGUACACAAAAAUGCACAUAUUGUGAGCUCGAUGAGUAGGGCGGGACACGUGGUAUCCUGUCUGAAUAUGGGGGGACCAUCCUCCAAGGCUAAAUACUCCUGACUGACCGAUAGUGAACCAGUACCGUGAGGGAAAGGCGAAAAGAACCCCGGCGAGGGGAGUGAAAAAGAACCUGAAACCGUGUACGUACAAGCAGUGGGAGCCUCUUUAUGGGGUGACUGCGUACCUUUUGUAUAAUGGGUCAGCGACUUAUAUUCUGUAGCAAGGUUAACCGAAUAGGGGAGCCGAAGGGAAACCGAGUCUUAACUGGGCGUUAAGUUGCAGGGUAUAGACCCGAAACCCGGUGAUCUAGCCAUGGGCAGGUUGAAGGUUGGGUAACACUAACUGGAGGACCGAACCGACUAAUGUUGAAAAAUUAGCGGAUGACUUGUGGCUGGGGGUGAAAGGCCAAUCAAACCGGGAGAUAGCUGGUUCUCCCCGAAAGCUAUUUAGGUAGCGCCUCGUGAAUUCAUCUCCGGGGGUAGAGCACUGUUUCGGCAAGGGGGUCAUCCCGACUUACCAACCCGAUGCAAACUGCGAAUACCGGAGAAUGUUAUCACGGGAGACACACGGCGGGUGCUAACGUCCGUCGUGAAGAGGGAAACAACCCAGACCGCCAGCUAAGGUCCCAAAGUCAUGGUUAAGUGGGAAACGAUGUGGGAAGGCCCAGACAGCCAGGAUGUUGGCUUAGAAGCAGCCAUCAUUUAAAGAAAGCGUAAUAGCUCACUGGUCGAGUCGGCCUGCGCGGAAGAUGUAACGGGGCUAAACCAUGCACCGAAGCUGCGGCAGCGACACUAUGUGUUGUUGGGUAGGGGAGCGUUCUGUAAGCCUGUGAAGGUGGCCUGUGAGGGUUGCUGGAGGUAUCAGAAGUGCGAAUGCUGACAUAAGUAACGAUAAAGCGGGUGAAAAGCCCGCUCGCCGGAAGACCAAGGGUUCCUGUCCAACGUUAAUCGGGGCAGGGUGAGUCGACCCCUAAGGCGAGGCCGAAAGGCGUAGUCGAUGGGAAACAGGUUAAUAUUCCUGUACUUGGUGUUACUGCGAAGGGGGGACGGAGAAGGCUAUGUUGGCCGGGCGACGGUUGUCCCGGUUUAAGCGUGUAGGCUGGUUUUCCAGGCAAAUCCGGAAAACCAAGGCUGAGGCGUGAUGACGAGGCACUACGGUGCUGAAGCGACAAAUGCCCUGCUUCCAGGAAAAGCCUCUAAGCAUCAGGUAACAUCAAAUCGUACCCCAAACCGACACAGGUGGUCAGGUAGAGAAUACCAAGGCGCUUGAGAGAACUCGGGUGAAGGAACUAGGCAAAAUGGUGCCGUAACUUCGGGAGAAGGCACGCUGAUAUGUAGGUGAAGCGACUUGCUCGUGGAGCUGAAAUCAGUCGAAGAUACCAGCUGGCUGCAACUGUUUAUUAAAAACACAGCACUGUGCAAACACGAAAGUGGACGUAUACGGUGUGACGCCUGCCCGGUGCCGGAAGGUUAAUUGAUGGGGUUAGCGGUAACGCGAAGCUCUUGAUCGAAGCCCCGGUAAACGGCGGCCGUAACUAUAACGGUCCUAAGGUAGCGAAAUUCCUUGUCGGGUAAGUUCCGACCUGCACGAAUGGCGUAAUGAUGGCCAGGCUGUCUCCACCCGAGACUCAGUGAAAUUGAACUCGCUGUGAAGAUGCAGUGUACCCGCGGCAAGACGGAAAGACCCCGUGAACCUUUACUAUAGCUUGACACUGAACAUUGAGCCUUGAUGUGUAGGAUAGGUGGGAGGCUUUGAAGUGUGGACGCCAGUCUGCAUGGAGCCGACCUUGAAAUACCACCCUUUAAUGUUUGAUGUUCUAACGUUGGCCCGUAAUCCGGGUUGCGGACAGUGUCUGGUGGGUAGUUUGACUGGGGCGGUCUCCUCCUAAAGAGUAACGGAGGAGCACGAAGGUUGGCUAAUCCUGGUCGGACAUCAGGAGGUUAGUGCAAUGGCAUAAGCCAGCUUGACUGCGAGCGUGACGGCGCGAGCAGGUGCGAAAGCAGGUCAUAGUGAUCCGGUGGUUCUGAAUGGAAGGGCCAUCGCUCAACGGAUAAAAGGUACUCCGGGGAUAACAGGCUGAUACCGCCCAAGAGUUCAUAUCGACGGCGGUGUUUGGCACCUCGAUGUCGGCUCAUCACAUCCUGGGGCUGAAGUAGGUCCCAAGGGUAUGGCUGUUCGCCAUUUAAAGUGGUACGCGAGCUGGGUUUAGAACGUCGUGAGACAGUUCGGUCCCUAUCUGCCGUGGGCGCUGGAGAACUGAGGGGGGCUGCUCCUAGUACGAGAGGACCGGAGUGGACGCAUCACUGGUGUUCGGGUUGUCAUGCCAAUGGCACUGCCCGGUAGCUAAAUGCGGAAGAGAUAAGUGCUGAAAGCAUCUAAGCACGAAACUUGCCCCGAGAUGAGUUCUCCCUGAGACUUAGAGUCUCCUGAAGGAACGUUGAAGACGACGACGUUGAUAGGCCGGGUGUGUAAGCGCAGCGAUGCGUUGAGCUAACCGGUACUAAUGAACCGUGAGGCUUAACCUUACAACGCCGAAGCUGUU